rnacentral:rRNA from 1 species
CUCCUACGGGAGGCAGCAGUGGGGAAUAUUGGACAAUGGGCGAAAGCCUGAUCCAGCCAUGCCGCGUGUGUGAAGAAGGUCUUCGGAUUGUAAAGCACUUUAAGUUGGGAGGAAGGGUAGUAGCCUAAUACGUUGCUACUUUGACGUUACCGACAGAAUAAGCACCGGCUAACUUCGUGCCAGCAGCCGCGGUAAUACGAAGGGUGCAAGCGUUAAUCGGAAUUACUGGGCGUAAAGCGCGCGUAGGUGGUUCAGUAAGUUGGAAGUGAAAUCCCCGGGCUCAACCUGGGAACUGCUUUCAAAACUGCUGAGCUAGAGUACGGUAGAGGGUGGUGGAAUUUCCUGUGUAGCGGUGAAAUGCGUAGAUAUAGGAAGGAACACCAGUGGCGAAGGCGACCACCUGGACUGAUACUGACACUGAGGUGCGAAAGCGUGGGGAGCAAACAGGA